GGGAGGUAGUGACAAUAAAUAACAAUACGGGGUUCUUUAGGAUCUCGUAAUUGGAAUGAGUACAAUUUAAAUCUCUUAACGAGGAACAAUUGGAGGGCAAGUCUGGUGCCAGCAGCCGCGGUAAUUCCAGCUCCAAUAGCGUAUAUUAAAGUUGUUGCAGUUAAAAAGCUCGUAGUUGAAUUUCGGGGUUAGUAGGUUGGACAUGCCUCUGGUAUGUACUGGUCUCACUGAUUCCUCCUUCCUGAUGAGCCGUAAUGCCAUUAAUUUGGUGCUGCGGGGAAUUUGGACUGUUACUUUGAAAAAUUAGAGUGUUUAAAGCAAGCAUUAGCUUGAAUACAUUAGCAUGGAAUAAUGAAAUAGGACGUUUGAUCCUAUUUCGUUGGUUUCUAGGAUCGACGUAAUGAUUAAUAGGGAUAGUUGGG
rnacentral:rRNA from 1 species